UGUGGCUGUUAACCACAAGGUCGGAGGUUCGACCCCUCCUUCUAGCG
rnacentral:tRNA from 1 species